GAGGGUACAGCUUACUGGUAAGAGUGCACGCCUAGCAUGCAUGAGGUCCUGGGUUCAAUCCCUGGUACCUCCA
rnacentral:tRNA from 1 species